CCUGUUAAGUUUCUUUUGAACAACUCCGUGUAUGUAGACGGUCAUUAAGUAUCACAAGUAUUACAGUACAUUUUUUGAAUGGUCAAAAUUAAAUGAAAAACAAUUCUGUGUAAACAAAACAGAAUGUUUGAAAAAUGAUUUAUAAACUUUGUGUUAAAUUUCACUAUGGAAGAACAAAUCUAGUGUAACUAUUUCACAAUGAUGCACCCAUUGCGAUAUCUCUGAGGGUAAAAACUUUUGUUUUUUCAAUUGAGAAACGGCUCUAAAAUGUUACAUGGCAUUAAUAUUGGAUGUCAAACGACUA